AUACGAACUGUGCAAACGUUAUUCGGAAUCACUGGGCUUAAAGGGUGCGUGGGCGGCAGCGUAGGUCAGAUGUGAAAGCCCACGGCUCAACCGUGGAAUUGCGUUUGAAACCACACAGCUUGAGGGAGAUAGAGGAGAGCGGAACUGUUGGUGGAGCGGUGAAAUGCGUUGAUAUCAACAGGAACACCGGUGGCGAAAGCGGCUCUCUGGAUCUCUUCUGACGCUGAGGCACGAAAGCUAGGGGAGCGAACGGGAUUAGAAACCCUAGUAGUCC
rnacentral:rRNA from 1 species